AUUUAUAUAGUUUAAUAAAAACACUACAUUUUCAUUGUAAAAAUAAAAUUAUAUUUUUAUAAAUA
rnacentral:tRNA from 1 species